ACGAACGCUGGCGGCUGCUUAACACAUGCAAGUCGAACGGAGUGGCGAACGGGUGAGUAACGCGUGAGCAACCUGCCUAUGACAGUGGGAUAGCCUCGGGAAACCGGGAUUAAUACCGCAUAGUCAUAGAUGGGCUCGCGUCUGAUUAGCUAGUUGGUGAGAUAACAGCCCACCAAGGCGACGAUCAGUAGCCGGUCUUGGAGGUUGAACGGCCACAUUGGAACUGGGACACGGUCCCAACUCCUACGGGAGGCAGCAGUGGGGAAUCAUGCACAAUGGGGGAAACCCUGAUGCAGGGUCGCCGCGUGAACGAAGAAGGUAUUCGUAUCGUAAAGUUCUGUCCUAUGGGAAGCUGUACCAUAGCAGAAAGCUCCGGCUAAAUACGUGCCAGCAGCCGCGGUAAUAC
rnacentral:rRNA from 1 species